CCAAGGCGACGAUCCCUAGCUGGUCUGAGAGGAUGACCAGCCACACUGGAACUGAGACACGGUCCAGACUCCUACGGGAGGCAGCAGUGGGGAAUAUUGCACAAUGGGCGCAAGCCUGAUGCAGCCAUGCCGCGUGUAUGAAGAAGGCCUUCGGGUUGUAAAGUACUUUCAGCGGGGAGGAAGGGAGUAAAGUUAAUACCUUUGCUCAUUGACGUUACCCGCAGAAGAAGCACCGGCUAACUCCGUGCCAGCAGCCGCGGUAAUACGGAGGGUGCAAGCGUUAAUCGGAAUUACUGGGCGUAAAGCGCACGCAGGCGGUUUGUUAAGUCAGAUGUGAAAUCCCCGGGCUCAACCUGGGAACUGCAUCUGAUACUGGCAAGCUUGAGUCUCGUAGAGGGGGGUAGAAUUCCAGGUGUAGCGGUGAAAUGCGUAGAGAUCUGGAGGA
rnacentral:rRNA from 1 species